GGGCUAUUCUGUGAUUUUGUGAUCCUUCCAAACACUCUGCCUUUUUCCCAAGGUCACAUGACUUUUGGAUGGCUCAGGGCAAUUCAUCUUGUGUUUGCAUUUGCUGAGUAACAAAUAGCUUUUAAAUGCCAGCAUUAUACUGUGCAAGUAUUAACUCUGAGAGCCAGACUCUGCUAUGGGGUUCAGCAAUUCAAACUGGCUUCAUUUGGUGUCCAAGCACUCAGUUCCUUCUUUUGGAAAAUGUCUCUCUUUUCCCUGACUGAAGAGCCAGAUGGGAUCCCUUCCAUCAUGAAUUAUGCUAUCAUCCUUUGCCUUCUAUAAAUACCAGUUCUGGAGAUGGGGAAAGAUUUGUUGUUUAGUUUCUGAAACUAAACUACUAAACUUUUCUGUAGUUUCUGAAAUUUUAGUUUCAGGGUUUCUGAAGACUUGACCUUGCUGAAUGCACUGAUUUUACAGCAGUCUAAAACAUCGAAUUGUCCCUGUGCAUUUUUGAGGAUAUUAACUACAAAUUGAAUUGUCUUAGAGAAGCUGCAAGCAAAAUAUCACACACAGACAUGUUCUCAUUCAGGAAGUCUGAUGCUAAUUACUUUGAAUCAAAGAGCCGGAUGAGCGUAACCUUCCAGUUUGGGAGAUAUUCAUCUGAUGGUAAGAAGGGAUUCUGCUAAUGCUCAGAGUUAUUUUUAUUUAUCUGCAGAUGCAAUGUUUUCAAGAGAGGAUUCUGGUCUUCUUAGCCACACCAAAAAGAGGUGUAUAUUUACCACAAAUUUCUGGAUUCCAAAAGACAUAAUUUUGAAAGGCCAGAAAAAAGGUGUUGGAAACUGUACAUCUGACCAAGAGGUUGGAAAGUAGUGUCUGAAUCUUUCCUGCUUGCUGUGUUUCCAAUGAAAUGAAUGUUGAUGUAUUGUGUUUCUAAUAGUUAGGCUACUUAAAGCUUUGAAUAAGUGUUUAUUUUUAUUUAUGUUAAGUAGAUAUAUCUUAAAUUCUAGUUAUAAGAACAAUUUAUAAUGCCAUUCAUUCUUAAGUAUUUGCAUUGAGCUCUAGAUGAAUUUGAAAAGUUGAAGAAUAAAUAAAACUAUAUAUAAGUUUCA
rnacentral:lncRNA from 1 species